GAAUAACAUACUUCAAGAUGGAUCCUCUAGCUUUAGUUGAAUGCAGCUUGAUUAAUUGUUCUGUUUUUGCAUGCUGCAAUAUGCAGUUGGGGUGCGCCACAAAGUGCACUAUUUGAGACAAAUGAUUGAGCAGAGAAGUUUCUGAAAGGCCCACCUGUUGGAAUUUCUCCGCGGAGUCUGUUGAAAG